rnacentral:rRNA from 1 species
AGGACGAACGCUGGCGGCAUGCCUAACACAUGCAAGUCGAACGGUAAGGCCCCUUCGGGGGUACACGAGUGGCGAACGGGUGAGUAACACGUGGGUAACCUGCCCUUCACUGGGGGACAACCGAGGGAAACUUCGGCUAAUACCGCAUGAUGUGCGUUGUCUCAAGACGACGUACCAAAACUCCGGUGGUGAAGGAUGGGCCCGCGGCGGAUUAGCUAGUUGGUGGGGUAAUGGCCUACCAAGGCGACGAUCCGUAGCUGGUCUGAGAGGACGAUCAGCCACACUGGGACUGAGACACGGCCCAGACUCCUACGGGAGGCAGCAGUGGGGAAUCUUGCGCAAUGGGCGAAAGCCUGACGCAGCAAUGCCGCGUGAGGGAAGAAGGUCUUCGGAUUGCAAAGCACUUUCGACGGGGACGAUGAUGACGGUACCCGUAGAAGAGCCCCGGCUAACUUCGUGCCAGCAGCCGC